UUUUAGAAACAUAUAUACACAUAGAUACUUUUUGGAAAGAAGAGAAGCUGAUCUUUAUUUUUUUUAAACUUUUAUGUAUGGUUACUAAACUUUUUAACGGAUUAUUUUGCUCCUGAAUAUUUGGUUGAUGUUUUCACAUAAAUUUGUAGUCGAAGGCAUGAAGUUUCCGCUUUUUUGAUUGUUCAGCCACCUUUAUACAUGUAUUUUCUAUUUAUGUGCCAAAUUUCAACGAAAAAUAUUAGGGAGCAGAUAUGUAACGAGAAACAUAUAUAAACAAAAAGUAUAUUUGGAAAGAAGAAAGGUUAGGCUUGAUUUUUAUAGUACUUUUAUUUAUAACCACUAAACUUUUUUAUGGUUAGUUUUGCUAAAAACUUUCAUGAAAAUUUCGUUGAUGUUCUCACAUUAAGUUCUUAUCGAAGGAAUGAAGUUUCCGCUUUUUUUGUUAUUCAGGAACUUUUUUGCAUGCAUUUUCUUUGUACAUGCCAAAUUUCAGCCAAAAAUAUUAGGGAGCAGAUAGUAUAAGAAGUGUAGGACUUUUGGUACCUAAAUUCGGUUUUUUUUGUUUUUGUUUUUGUUUUAUCGGUAAGAGAAAUACGGGGAGGAUAGGGGGGUGGCAAAUGGUAAACAAAAAAAUUCUUACUACAUUGUAUUAUUUAAUUUUUAAUAUUAGAUUAUUUUAAUAAAUAAAAAAUGGUAAAAGUCAUAACAAAGAAGACUUCAAAAAGCCAAUUUGCACAGACUACAGCUGUAUCUACCUCUUGUACUACACCUGGUAAGUUACAUAACUCUUAAUUUUUAAUUUGCAAACUUUACAAUAUGUUUAACUUUAGUUCCUUAGUCAGCUGCUGCAACUAGUAAUUUAAAAAAAUAAUAAAUUUAAUAUGUGUAUGCAUUUCUCGUUAUUUCUAAUAUUGAUUUUUUGUUACAACUUUGUAAUUUUAGUAUCUACCUCUUGUGCUACACCUGGUAAGUUAAACAACUAUUAGUUUUUAAUGUGCAAACUUUAUAAUAUGUUUAACUUUAGUUCCUUAGUCAUCUUUUGCAACUAGUAAUUUAAUAA